rnacentral:sRNA from 1 species
UUAUGACAUAUGGAUAGCCUAUGUCAAAAUACGCGAUUGAGGAUGAAAAUAUAUGUCUGGCGGACAGUGCUUCUACACACUAUCUUUAAAGAUAAAAGUACUUCUCCUCUCUCGAAAUAAAUGACUCCGCUAGAAGCGUGAGUACUAUAAAUGGCCAUGCAAAGAUAAUAUUAGGCUUUGGCAAAGUCAAUUUUACAAUGCCAAGGGGAUCUCAUUUUAAAGUAAAUGAUGCAUUAUACUCCCCUAAAUCUCAUAGAAACUUGAUAAGUUUCAAAGAUAUCCAAAGUAAUGGAUAUCAUAUAGAGACUAUGAAUAAAGAUGGCAUUGAAUAUCUUUGCAUAAAAUCCGAGAGGCAAUAUAUAUUAAGAAUUGCCAAUGCUAUCCUGCAGAUUAUAUUGCACAAAAAUAAAUAUAAUCGCAUCAGAUGUUAAUGUAAACUCGAGUGACAAUCACUCGUGUGAGUUUACUAGUACAUUUAAGAUAUGACAUGAAAGACUUGGACAUCCUGGUUAAGUCAUGAUGCGAAAAAUU